GUAGUCAACGGUACCGGAACGACCAACGGGAGCGAGGAUAAGGAGUUGACUAGCUAACUAAA
rnacentral:sRNA from 15 species